CUAAAUUAAUUCUACUUAACCAACUUAAAGUUAUCUUUGUACCUAAGUACUUUCCUUGUUUAAAUAAUCCUUAAAUGGAACAAUAAUAAUGUACAAAAUACGUUUAAUAUCGUUACUAUUAAAAUUAUUCAGCUUAAAAUAUUCAAUUUUACUAUUUUGUUAGAUAGUUUUUUAAAACAACUACCUACCAUAAAUUUAUCUUGUUCUUUGUUCUUUUUCUAAAUUUAUUUUGCUAAAUUCACUUUUAUUGUGUGUAAUUUGCUGACAGCCACAUCUUAGAUUGCUAAGCUUGCUUGCUAUCCACUUCCCAUCUUCAAUCAAGCUAAGGGAUCGGCAUGUGGCAGUCAGACUGGGAAUUCGGACAAUUCUUGAAAUGACUAAUUCCGGGUUCCAGGGUUCACCCUUCGAGUUCAGCAACCGCUGGACCCACUACCGGUCCUGUACUUACCUGCACCGGUUCACCCUUCGAGUUCAGCAACCGCUGGACCCACUACCGGUCCUGUACUUACCUGCACCGUUUCACCCUUCGAGUUCUACAACCGCAGGACCCACUACCGGUCCUGUACUUACCUCUACCGCUUCACCUUUCGGGUUCUACAACCCGCUGGAUCCACUUUCGGUCCUGUACUUACCCCACCGUUUCUGCUGCCCUGCUGCGCGCGCCGGUGUACCCCGUGUCGUCGUGGGAAGAGUUACAGGGAAGUGGUAGUUUUCCUACUGCACCAAGGUUGCUCAGCCAGUAUCAAAUUACCU